UACGUAGGUGGCAAGCGUUAUCCGGAAUUACUGGGCGUAAAGCGCACGCAGGCGGUCUUUUAAGUUUGACGUGAAAGCUCCCGGCUUAACUGGGAGAGGUCGUUGAAUACUGGAAGACUUGAGGAAAUGAGAGGGGUGUAGAAUUCCUGGUGUAGUGGUGGAAUGCGUAGAUAUCAGGAGGAAUACCAGUGGCGAAAGCGGCACCCUAGCAUUUUUUCUGACGCUCAUGUGCGAAAGCGUGGGGAGCGAACGGG
rnacentral:rRNA from 1 species